GAUCCCUAAUUUCUAUUUCCCUCAGAUUUCGCAUUGCAUGUCUUCCUAUUUGCAUGUACUCUAGCAGAUUUCGGCCAAGACACCUGCAGUACUCUAGCAGAUUAGCACAUAGAAAUAGGAGUACCAUUAUAUUAGCUGUUUGCAAGCUUUGUAUAUUGUAUAGCCUAUUUAUCUGUAAUUGACUAAUUAUAAAAUAGUAUAAGCCUGUUGAGGAAGACGGACGCUGAGGGCAUCAGCCAAUCUCAAGUCUUUGGCACCUAGGCCUGUGUAGGAUGCCGAGACAGUUUCGUCGGUGGCGUGUGGACCUGUCUGCGACGACCACAUCUCUCCUCUAUCUCUCACAUGUGGAGGCCAGGCCGCAAAGUUUUCAUCACGCUAGGAUUCCUCAUGCAUCGGGCCGCUGGAGCCGCCGCUUCCCACCUACCGGCGCUGUUGUUGCUCGCUUACUGGCGCCGCCCUGUGGCGGUCCCUGCCUCCUGCGUUUCUCUACAGUCGGAGCUCCCCUACCCGCAAGCGUUUCGCCGCUGCUCGAUCUUGCCCGCACGCAUCCCAGCGCCUCUCCCCGCGCCCGGCCUCCCCCCCCCCCCCCCCCAUCUGCAUCCUCUGCACCGACCCGGCUCCACCACAUGCUUCACCAGCGCCCGAGCAGCCAGGUCAUCCCUUCACCGCCGAGGCCUUGUGUGUUCCUGGUUUUGUGGUUGGUCGUGUGUUCAGCUUGAUUGCCAGCGGUGGCUCUAGGCUCGGUCGCUGCAGCGCCGGGCCGCUGGUGGCCAUUGAGUUUGCUCGAGAAUUGAUGUUUCCUUGCACUGAGGGUUUUUCAGAUUGUAGACAUCCACGCGAGUGAGUCUAUUAGUCGUCGAUAGUAGCCUUCAAGAUGCACCUUAUGUCUUCAGUCUGGUUCAAGACACAAAAUGAACCACCAAUCUGAUGGACUAAAGGUUACCUUCAAUACAAUUUCAGUCAUUUGUUUGACAGGUUUUGAAAAGCUUCGGCAGCUUCAAAUUAACUGAAGUUCCAGUUUAAGAAAUAAUAAGCUAGCUAAAAGAAAGUAAAGCAUUUGCAAUAUUAUUACCAACUAUAAAGUUGUAUUCUGAACAAAAAAUCUACCAUGCUCGCUGAUUCAUACAGCUUCGCAGCAUAUUACUACCAGUCUACCAGAAGUUUGUUGCUCAAGAACUGGCCUGUAGGAGCUGUCACAAACUGAGGUUCCGGUGCAUGCCAAGCUACGCCACGAGUAUCUCCAGCAGCCAGUGGGUCGUGCUUGUGCACGACAAGCCGUCGCUGCAGAGGAUGGUUUCACGGCGUUUCUAAUUCUUCCUUCAUUAAACAAUGAGAUAUAAGUUGGAAGUGGAGCAGAACCUGGACACGGUGCUUAGGUUCUAGAAUGAAUUUGUUUGUGGGGGCAGAAAGAUGUGUAUCAAGGUGUAAGAAGAUGAUCAUCAAGUCUCGGAGGUGACAAAAGUAUGUGGUAUGUACUACAUGCAUGCAGAAAUAAAAUGCAUUGACUAUUUAAGCUUCUCUGAUUCGUUUGUUAUUUCUGAUGGAACAUAAAAAUACUUCAAAAAAUGACUAUAAUUUGCGCUGGAGAUAAGGUUGUGAUGAAAAGGAACUUGCGGGUGACGGAUGCUAGGUCAUCUACAGAUGUACAUGUAUUCUCUGUUCAUGGUUACCUCUUCAGCGGGCGGAGAACCGAGACCUAUUUACGGAGGUCUGUACACGGUUGGAGGCUACGGUGAGGGAUACUUUUUCCCUACAUGAGUGACAGCAUAGUCUACGGAUUGAAGCUCCACCCUCUCCUUAGGCGUUAUAUAAUUCAUCGUUUCGACAUGUAUUUCGCCUUUUUUUCAUAUUUGGUUCCAGAAACUAGAACAUGUGUGUGCAUCCUGGUUAUGCAGAGGCUGGAUGUAAUUGCUUAUCACAAGUAAUAAAGCAUUCUUUAUCGAAAAAAAAUGAGCCGUACUUUGAAGAUAUACAUGAUCUAAAAAAAUUUCCCGUUGUAAUGAUGCGGCAUUAAGCCCAUACAUGUGCUGGCUCUACCAGAUAGCUAUGGUGUCUAAGAUAUGUGUUAAUCCUGCUAAUCCAGAUAUAUUGUCUUUUCAAAUAGGUGUUCUAUUUUUCUUACAAGAUCGGAGUUUAUUCUCUGUUGCAAUAUUGCUUUGAGGAUGAUGGAAAAAACAUUAUUUUUGGUAGAAUUAUUGGAGUGAAGUGUUCUGUUGAGUGGAUUGCUAAAAGAAGGGCAGUGAUUUGAGUCUACAAAAAUGGAGCCUGCUACUGUGGCUUAUCUGUAUAAGAUCAUAUCGCACAAAGCAGUAAUAAUAAGUGGUUUAUAGGAUUUGUUUUCCUAAAUUGUGAUCUAAUUUGUGGAACACAGUCUUUUUGCUCCAAGAUUAGUGACCAGGCUAUGGCACCAAAAGAAGUACGAAACCUCCCAGACUUGAUGAUCAUCUUCUUAUAGCUGGCUCCAAGAUUACGAUCUUUUUGCUCCAAGAUUAAUUUGUGGAACACGAUCUUUUUGCUCCAGAAAGAAGUGGUACAGUUUGUAUGUUUUUUUUCUUUUGACUCAGAAGAGGUUGGGUCGACAAUCUAUCAGUACUACAGUGUAUCUUGAUAUGGAACAACAAACCCAUGUUUCUUUUGUAUCUGCUACUUGCUGAGGUAUGACCGAGGAUCAGAGUUAAAAAAUGUUGGCAUUGAUCCAGAGUGAAUUGGUCAUAUAAAGCUUGGAGCGUGAUGUAGUGUUGUUUCAAAAAUAUUGUGUGAAUGAAUGGGAGUGUUGUGGUUCUCACC